CUUUAAAAUAUGAUGUUUGUCUGCCAAUUAAAUGAGCUUAUUAGAGGUCUCAACAUGACAAAAUAGGACUGUCAAGCAUCUUCUGCACUGCUGGCUCCAUAAUGCAAGUGAUAGUACUUAUUUUGUGCACCUGCAGUGGUUAUUUUGUGUCGCUGAGCAUUAUGGGAGCACAAUCUAACAGCAGCUGAAGGUGGAGUUGGCAGAUUCAACAUCUGUAUACUUG